AAAUAUGAAGUAAUUUUACAAUUUAAUUUCGACUUAAUUUAUUGGUUUAACUAAACCCUUAUUUA
rnacentral:tRNA from 1 species